rnacentral:lncRNA from 1 species
CAUGUGUCACUUGGGAGAACAUCCUGACCAUGUUCAUUAUCAUCCACACCAACACAAUCAUCACAGAAAGAGACCUGAUUGCCCUUGAAAUGUGAGGAAGGUAGUUCUAAUAAAGCACGAGACAAAAAAAUCCUAAAUGGUCUAAUCUUCCUAUCAAAUAUCAGCUUGGAUCCAGAACAACAAUCUUUGAUAAAUGAAACCAUUGCCUUCAUGAAAAGUAAUCAGGAUAAUAGCAGGAAUAGAUGCUGUACACCAAAAAAAAUUGAAAAAUUGCCAGUGUUAAAAAUGGGGGAAUAUAUCUGAGCAUAUGAAAUGUGCCUCGGCACAUAUAAUGUAGAAAUUUGCUCAAAUUAUAAAAUAUAAAAGUUAGAGCACAUUGAGACGGCGGCUCUAUACUUCACAAACUGCUGGAAAGUACUAUUCUGGAAACAAAAACAGAAUCACAAGGUAUUUCAAUGUCUUUUGCUUCACUAAAGCAAUCAUUUUGUCAUUUGCCUAAAGAAAUCCCCAAACAGGAAAUAAUUACUUCUAGAUAGAAAAAUAAGAACAAAGUUGUAGUAAAUUACUUUAGCCUGUUCGGGAAUGACUUAUUUUAAAAUGACUUAUAAGUUAAAAUAUAAGUUGAUUUAAGUUGUGACUUAUAAGUAAAAGCGUUCGGCUGAUAAUAACUUAUAAGUCAGAAAUUAAGUUAAAAACAAGUUAUGAAAGUGUUCGGCUGAUAAUAACUUAUAAGGUAAAAUCAAAUGUAAAGAUUACUAAAAAGGACAUUAUAAAAAGAUACAUUGAUUCAAUAUUAUAUCAUUACAAUCAUCCUCAAUUGCACUAAAUAAAACCUUUAACAAAUUCUCUAAACAUAUCAACUACAAUCUUAUUCCAAGUUAGAGAUUCUUAAUGCAAUAUUAUCUCUCAUUGCUUACAUAACUAAACCAUUACAAUAUCAUAUGUGGGUUUCAAUCCAUAAUGAUUUUUAAGAUCACCACACAAUUCUAAAAAGGUAUUUUUUUUCUAAACAAAAAUCUUGAUAACAUCGUGAUUCAUAAACAUUUAUUAUCUCUAUUAUUAUCCGGUUCUUGAAGAAUUCCAACAUGGUUUCUUACAAAUAAAACUCCCAUAAUACAUAUAAAUUUUACAGUAGUAACCAUUCUUUAUCUUCUUCCUGCCACUUUUGACUAUCCAACUCUCUAUUUCUUAUAAACCCUUCUUCAUUGUUAUAAAAAAAAACUAGCAUUAAAAAAAUGAAAUAGUUGUUCAUCCACUUGUGCCAGAAUAUGAUUCAUAUCCAUUUUAAAUGCAGUAACAACUAAACAAGUCAAAACUUCAAUUAACUCUUACUCAAUGAAGAGACCUGUAAAUUAUAGAUCAUAUUUAAGAAAAAGAAGCUGAAAUUUAGAAAGAAUAAAAAAUAUAGAAGCAUUUUGAAUGAAAAUAAUCAACCAGAAUCAAUUUAUCAGAUUGUAGGAUACACCUUAUAAACCUAUCAUUACCAAGCAAUUUACAUAAAAGCAGAAAUACUGCAGAAAUGUAUAGUUCCCUGUCUGUAUAGUGGCCUAAAAUAAAACUAGCAAAAUCAACCCCUCUACUUCCAACCACCCAAAAAAACAAACCAACAAACAUCAAAAUCAUCAAAGAAGGUAAUUAAAUCUUUUGGAUUAUGUGAUCUGGGCAUAUCAAUAUUCCAGAUUUCAUAUUCAAAAAUACUCAGAAGAGUAUUUUUUCCAUUUUAACAAUGUUGGUUACAGAAGAACAAGUUAUACUUGUUCAUAAUGUAAAUUACACAAGCACCUGAAAGUUUGUGAAACACCAUCUAGCAUUAUUAAUAGCCAUUACAUUAAUUAUUUUUCAUGAGACAUUGGAUACUGUGUUACAAGGAUAUAUGUAUAUAUAUAAAUAACCUAAAUUUGCAACUCAUUAUUAUAAAACUAUACAUCAACAUAAAAUAGUAAUGAAACCUUUAUUCGAAGCCAUGGAUUAAUAUUACAACCUAACCAUAGACUAGUUAAAGUAUACACGAGUUUACAAUACUACAUUUCAGGAGAGUUUACACCAGCAAGGAAAGUAGAGAUGAUUACACUUUGACUCUAAAUUAUUAGUCAUUGCCAGCGGUGCCCUAUACAAAUAGAAUUUUGCGUAAAACCAUGGGCUGAAAGGAUAAUCUAGCAGCAAAUUUUGCAUCCCUAUAAUCCAUGGACAACAAUACCAAUACAAAUUUAACUACAUUUCAGGAGAGUUUAUACCAACAAGGAAAGUGGAGAUGAUUACUCUUUGACUCUAAAUUAUUAAACAUUGCCAGUGGUGCCCUACACAGUCAGGGAAUUUGGCGUAAAACCAUGAGCAGAAAGGAUAAUCUAGCAGCAAAUUUUGCAUCCUUGUAAUCCAUAGACCACAAUACCAAUACAAAUUUAAUGGGCUGGUGAUACUUUUCAUUGUUGUGGACCACAGGCCCAAUAGAAAGAAACAAAGGAACUUCAAUGCCUCUGUUGCACUCACUCGCACAUGUUUGGGACAAAAUAAUUCAGAGGGUCUAAGCCUGGAGUGAAAAGUUAAAAUUAGGAGAUGCUUAAAGCAUAACAUAAUACAAACAGACCAAUAGUGAAGAGCCAUUUGCCAAAUGAUACUGCACUGCAUUAAAAAGCUAAUUUUCACUUCUCAAUUUCACCAAAAUUUAGACAUGAUAAUUCAAACUUUCUCUAGCAAGCUAAAGAUGCAAAAUUUACAUUCCAUGAUGAACCAAAAGAAUUAACAAAAGUUCACACUUGCAAAAUAUGAGACUAGCAUUCCACAAAACAAAUUUGCACAAAUUAAAAAGGAAAAAAAUGUGGAGUGCACAAAACAAAUCAUAAAAUAAAAACAAGAAUAGAUCAAUUAACAGCGAAGGAAAAACAACUGAAAUACUUCAAAAACAGUUACAAGUAGUACCUUUGCAACUAUGAUCUGACCAACGUAUGAUAGAACAAUAUAACCAGAAAAUUCUUUAUCACAUUCACUAAAUAUUUAAUAUUCAAUUGAUUAACAUCAGGAAAAACAAACCACUAGAAUUGAAUCAGCCAAAAAUAAAGUUCCACUCUAAACCUUAAAAUUAAUACCCCUAUUAUAACAAAAACAAUACAAGACAAUGAGGCCAAAGCAAAACCAAACAGAAAAUAAUGAAAUUCUACUUGUAUAAUAUGUGUUUGGAAGUAACAAAUCGUACCGAUAGUUCUGCGAUCCAGGAGGAAUUGUAAGCCGAAAGAGAGACUGACCCAAUCGAGCGAGAGAGAGUGAUUCCAAUCUACCGACAUGAGAAGAGCAGAGCAUAGCAGCCGUUUGUUUACGUUAGAGAAGUCGAGCAGAGCAGAAAAUUGGCCACAUCAAAUUUUUUUUAAAACCAAAUUCGGAAAUGUUGUGGAUUUGGCUGCGCUACCAAAUCAGAGGGAUUUAGGGGUUUUACCGGAAUCAAGAAAGCUGGGGUUUUGCUGUUGUCCAUCACAAUUAGCAAGAGGUGGGUUUAGGAAUUGGAGGCGUUGAAACCAGCUGAAGCAGCUCUUGACAAAUGAGCGAGAAGAGGGCUAUGUACUUAUCUAAGCUUAUAUGAUGAUUAAGGGCAGGCACAUCACAUGACUAACUUUCAUGUUCACAUCAAUUUGGAGCUUAAAAAAUACUUAACCAAGUAGGUUUACAUCUAAAUCGUCUUUUGUGUUUAUGACUUUAUG